CCCUUGCGGUGUGCGACUUCUCACACUCGUUUUCUCUCGUCGGUUUUAGAACUGUGUUUUGCAAAAGUCUGCAGUCGUGCGCCAUCCGUGUUGAUAUUCACGUAGGUAUUGAAAAAUAGUUACGCCAGAAUAAUAUUCGUUAUUGUUUAUUCGUGUAAUCCGAUUUAUUGCGACGCACACGGAUUAUAAUUUUUCGUUUUAAUUCUUGG